GACAAUGCAGAUAGGUCCACAUACAUGGAAGCAAGCCAGAUCCUCAGCCUUAGCCAAAUGUGGAGUUGUUUGUGACAGAGAGCACUCACCAUCAGGAAGGUGGAAGGCGGAAACCAGCUCCAUCUUUAAGGCGCGGCAUUACGCAGACACAGAGCCAUUUUCACAUAAGUAUAUGAUGGUCUUUGACCAUACCCUCUUAUUCCCAGGUACCCUCUCUCUUCUUGCCCUUCUAGGAUUUCAUGAGUCCCAUUGGUUUCCUAGAGACACCCUCUCUCCGAACCUAGAGCUCACCAAGUUGGACAGACUGGCUGGCCAGUAAGCCCCACGGAUCUGCCUGUCUUCGCCUCCCCAGGGCUGACUGCUGCAGCUUUUGCACAUGCGUGCUGGGGAUCAAACUUAGGUCCUUGUGCUGGGCAGCAAGCACGUUACUGCUCUGCCAUCGCCCCAGCCCCAAUCUGUGAUUUAAUUCGCUCAGUCUGAGCACCUCUAGACGUAUCCAUUUUCCUGCUAAUGAAAUAAUGCCAUUCUUUGUGGCUGAAAAAGCUUCCAUUGUGUGUAUAUACCAUAUCUUCCUUGCCCACUUCUCUGUUGUUGGACACCUAGAUUGUUUCCAUAACUUGGCUACUGUGAAGAAUGGGAUCAUUAUCACCAUUGCUGACCAUGCCUGACUCAUAAUGAGGGAUCAACAGCUCAGCAGAUCAUGUGGAAUCAAGUGGACACCUCAGCCGAGGCCGGGAAAUGCUGAGGUCUCUGUGAUAUUCUUUGCAAUCCUUCUGUCACAAGUGGCUUAGAUAUCCAUCACCUCAGAACAAACACUGAGUGCUAGAGUCCUGUUUGGGCAUGAGUAGAGUAAGUACAGUCCUCAAAUGUAAAAAUUAUCAUGAAAAACCCUGAAAAGCUAGGCAUGCGGAUGCACAGCUGUAAUCCUGGCACUCAGGGGACAGAAGCCAGAGGAUCUCAGCAAAUUCCAGGCCAGCCAAUGCGACUUCAGAGGACCCCACCUUAAAGGAAGAAAGAAAAGAAAGAAGAGAGGGAAACACAGGGGGCGGGGGAACAGUUGAUGUGCCUGGUAUAAGCAUGUAAAUUAUCAAGAAUCUUUAAGCGGUGCCACAGACCUGUUACCCUAGCUACUGUGGAGAAGGGCAGGAAGACUGAAAGUGUAAGAACUACAGAACCGGCUCAAUGCCAGUCUGUCUAAAAAUGGAAGGAAGAAGGAAGGGAGGGAGGGAGGGAAGGAGGGAGAGAGGGAGGGAAGGAGGAGGGAGGGAAGAAGGUAAGGAGGAAGGAAGGAGGAAAGAGAGGGAGGAUAAAGGAAAAAAAGGAAGGGAAGAAGGGAGAAAGGGAGGGAAGGAGGGAGAAAUGGAGGGAGGGACAGAGGGAGGGAAGGAGGGAGAGAGGGAAGCUGAGGAUAUUGCCCAGUGGUACACCAGUUGCCUAGCAAGCCCAAGGCUGUAGAUUCGAUGUCCAGGACAGGGAAAGAAAGGAAGGGGGAAAAAGGAAGGAAAAAAAGAAAGAGAAAGGGGAAAAAAGGCAAAAGCUUUUGUGUAAAUCUUUACAAGCAAAAACUGUCAAUCAAAACCUAAAAUGAACUUGUCCCAAAUGUGAUUUCUGAAUCUUUGGGUGUUUUCCUCCUUAGGCUUUUCAGUUCUCCGUUGUUUUACCAUAACUGUUACAGUUAAAUUUCCUGCGUGAUCAAAAUACACUGUGUGCAUGUAUGAAAUCCUCAAUGAAGUCAUAAAAAUAUUAUAGUAAUGAAAAUAUUUUAUUGCUAGCUUCAUUUGGUGCAAUUGAAAUAAAACUGUAGCCUGUAUGUUUCUUGUUUAUGACAACAGAUGAUCUCCCGAAAUAAUGUGUUAAUUAUAAACUAAGUUAUAGUUGGUGUAAAAUAAAUGCCUCAGAAAGGCACUAUGUGCUUCCUCAUCAUCUCAUUGUUCUUCACAAAGCUUGUAAGAGUCAGAAGUGCCAACACACACAAACACACAAAUACAUACCACACACACAGAUAAAUACACACACUCACACACACACACACACAUACACACACAGACGGACACACACACAUGAUCACACUUUCUCAAGCAUGCACAUACACACCACACACACAUACACACAUACAUAAACUCACACAGACAUACACACAGACACACACUCACACUCACAUACAUGCACGCUCACACACCACACACAGACACUUCACACACAUAGACACAGCGGCACACACUCACAGAUCAUGUAAUCUCCAUCUUUCAAUUUGAAAUAACUGUCGAGUGUUGCUUGUUUGUCUUACCUUCUGUCAGCACACCUUGACAUGGUGUCGUUUGUAGUCAAGAUGAUGAAAAGAGUUUUUGCCCUAUCUUUGUUCUGUGACAAACACACUUAGCUCAUUCACACAGUCCAAGGUUUUCUUUUUAUAGUUUGCAAAUUAAAGAAUGUUGCCAAGUAA